AUGGAGGUGGCUCUUGUGAGUGUGGCCACGGGGGCCCUUAACUCCGUCCUGGAGAAGCUGGGCACUCUGCUAGUCGACGAGUACAAUCAUCUCAAAGGGGUGUGCGGUGAGAUUAAGUUUCUAACUGAUGAGCUUACUGCCAUGCAUGCCUUUCUCCUUAAGAUGUCGGAGGAGGAGGAUCCUGACGUGCAGGACAAGGUAUGGAUGACCAUGGUGCGGGAGCUCUCCUAUGAUAUAGAGGACUCCAUUGACGACUUCAUGCAAGGUCUCGACGACAAAGACGCUAAGCCAGAUGGCUUCAUAAAGAAGAUCAAACACAUUCUGGGGACAUUGGGGAAGAGGAAGGCUCACCAUCAGACGUUCCAAGAUUUGAAGAAUCAAGUCAUUGAGGCGGGCGAGAGGAAUCAAAGGUACAAGACAACUCAGGCCUUCUCCAACACAAAAAAUGCAACCGUUGACCCUAGGGCUCUUGCUAUCUUCGAGGAUGCCUCAAAGCUUGUCGGUAUUGACGAACCCAAGGCUGAGAUAAUCAGAUUGUUGACAGAAGGGAAAGUAUAUGCGCCAGUGCAACAACAACAACCAAAAAUACUCUCCAUCGUUGGAUCAGGAGGAAUGGGCAAGACAACGCUUGCAAACCAAGUGUAUCAAGAUCUUAAAGGAAAAUUUGAGUGUCGGGCUUUCGUAUCAGUGUCACAAAAUCCGAACAUGAAGAAAAUCUUGAAAACUAUUCUCAGUGAAGUGGCAAAUAAAGAUUAUGCCCAUACCAAAGCUAGGGAUGAACAACAACUUAUCUCCAAGAUCUCUAGUUUCCUUGUUGACAAAAGGAGGCCGUGGAAGACACUAGAGAGAAGGGUGGUGCCCGAAGGGAUCUCGCCGUGGUCUCACCGCGCGUCGCCUCCGCGUCCGCCAAGGCCCCGAAUCUUGUGGCUCUGA
rnacentral:rRNA from 1 species